GCCGUGGUGGCACAACCUGGUACUGCGCAAAUCAUAUUCUCAUGAGCACGGGUAUAUUGAGCGUAAGCCUGGAAAGCUUGUUUCCGAAAGGAUUUCCCAGUUCAAAUCUGGGCCACGGCG
rnacentral:tRNA from 1 species